UACGUAGGGUGCGAGCGUUAAUCGGAAUUACUGGGCGUAAAGCGUGCGCAGGCGGCGCGUUAAGACAGGUGUGAAAGCCCCGAGCUUAACUUGGGAAUUGCGCUUGUGACUGGCGUGCUGGAGUGUGGCAGAGGGAGGUGGAAUUCCACGUGUAGCAGUGAAAUGCGUAGAGAUGUGGAGGAACACCGAUGGCGAAGGCAGCCCCCUGGGCCAAUACUGACGCUCAGGCACGAAAGCGUGGGGAGCAAACAGG
rnacentral:rRNA from 1 species